UACAGAGGUCCCGAGCGUUGUUCGGAUUCACUGGGCGUAAAGCGUGCGCAGGCGGUUAUGUAAGACAGGUGUGAAAUCCCCGGGCUUAACCUGGGAACUGCAUUUGUGACUGCAUAGCUAGAGUACGGUAGAGGGGGAUGGAAUUCCGCGUGUAGCAGUGAAAUGCGUAGAUAUGCGGAGGAACACCGAUGGCGAAGGCAAUCCCCUGGACCUGUACUGACGCUCAUGCACGAAAGGCGUGGGGAGCAAACAGG
rnacentral:rRNA from 1 species